UGAACUCCAGGGCUUGGUAUGCUUGCAAAUGCAAGAUUUGAUUGGUCAGUUGUUUUAACCGCUUUCCUUUAAUUUUCGUUCGUCACAAGGUUGACACAACUUUUUCACUUGUCAAACAAUAUAGACAUAUAUAUUUUACUAUAAAUAAUAAAGGAUCAGGGUUCUAAGGAAUAUAGGAUUUUGAUACCGUUUAAACAUAAACCCCACACGAGUGCUUGAGAUCGAGUGUUAGAGACAUAUAGUGGAGCUCAGUACCACAUACUGGAAAGACUAUGGAAAACGUUAGAAAACAUAGGAAUGUAGAACUCUGCCAUCAGAAGAAGCGAUUAAUCAAACUCUCAGCCAAACCUACUUGCAAAACUCAUAGGAUUUUUUCUGAAGAUCUGGUUGCCGUGGAAUUACUUCGUGCCAAAGUGACAAUUAACAAACCAUUAUUUGUUGGCAUGUGUAUUCUAGACCUCAGCAAACAUUUGAUGUAUGAUUUUUAUUACAAUCAUCUAAAAGAAAAAUAUCCUAAUAUAGAACUCUUGUACACUGAUACUGAUAGUUUUGUUCAUUAUUUAGAAUGUGAUAACAUAUUUGAUGAAUAUCGAAAACAUACACAUUUGUAUGAUCUAUCUGAAUUUCCAAAGAAUCAUCCAUUGCAUAGUGAUGUCAAUAAAAAAGUGCUUGGAAAAAUGAAAUCAGAAACAAAUGAAAAAAGUGUAUUUCAGAAUUUGUUGUGAAUUUCCAAGGAAUCAUCCAUUGCAUAGUGAUGUCAAUAAAAAAGUGCUUGGAAAAAUGAAAUCAGAAACAAAUGAAAAAGUGUAUUUCAGAAUUUGUUGCAUUAAAACCAAAAAUGUAUGCUUUUGCGUGUGAUAAUAUUGAAGUCAAGCAUUGCAAGGGUAUUUCAAAAACUACAGUCAAAAACAAUUUAAGACUAGAUCAUUACAAACAUUGUUUAAUCAGUCUAGAAGUUUCUCCAAUAUGUCAGUAAUUCGUAGUCAUAAACAUCAAAUAUAUAUUGUAAAGACAUUGUAAAAACUGGAUUAUCAUGCUAUGAUGAUAAACGUUUCUUACUCGAAAAUGGUAUUGACAGUUUGGCAUAUGGACAUUAUAAAAUAACACAACAUAGAUAGAUAGAUACUUUUUAUGUAUAAAUGAUGGCAUGUACAUUUCUUUACAGAAUAAUCUUUAAGUUUUUAGAUGAAAAAAUAAAAUAAAAAU